UGAUGCAAAGAACUUAGUCCAAGCUUUGAUCUUUUCUGCACUGCCUGCCAAAGCAGAACCUUGAGAAAUACCCAUGUUUGGGGGAUGAGAGGAAGAAGAUAAAUCAGCAAAGAAAAUAGUGAUAAGAAAGAUGCAGAGCCCAGGGAUAUGGAGGGCCAAUUGUGUUUGUAAAACACUUAGAAGGGCGCCUGACAUGUGAGUUGCCUUGUCUAAUUCCAGCCCUGAGAUAGCUACCCAAGAUUGUUGUAACCUCCAG